ensembl:miRNA
GAAACUACCUGCUUGAGAGACAUACUUCUUUAUAUGCCCAUAUGAACCUGGCAAGCUAUGGAAUGUAAAGAAGUAUGUAUUUCAGGUGGG